rnacentral:rRNA from 1 species
UUGGAGGGCAGUCUGGUGCCAGCAGCGCGGUAAUUCCAGCUCCAAUAGCGUAUAUUAAAGUUGUUGCAGUUAAAAAGCUCGUAGUUGAAUUUCGAGAUCAAUUUGUCGGUCGUGCCUCGGUACGUACUGGCAUUAUUGAUUUCUCCCCCUCUGAAGAACCGCGAUGUCAUUAAUUUGGUGUCGUGGGGAAUCAGGACUGUUACUUUGAAAAAAUUAGAGUGUUUAAAGCAGGCGCACGCUUGAAUACAUUAGCAUGGAAUAAUGAAAUAGGACGUUUGAUUCUAUUUUGCUGGUUUCUAGGAUUGACGUAAUGAUUAAUAGGGAUAGUUGGGGGCAUUAGUAUUCAAUUGUCAGAGGUGAAAUUCUUGGAUUUAUUGAAGACUAACUACUGCGAAAGCAUUUGCCAAGGAUGUUUUCAUUAAUCAAGAACGAAAGUUAGGGGAUCGAAGACGAUCAGAUACCGUCGUAGUCUUAACCAUAAACUAUGCCGACUAGGGAUCGGAUGAUGUUAAUUUUUUAAUGACUCAUUCGGCGCCUUACGGGAAAC